rnacentral:misc_RNA from 1 species
CACGAACCGGACAGACGUUAUUCGGAAUUACUGGGCGUAAAGCGCGCGUAGGUGGCUUGAUAAGCCGGUUGUGAAAGCCCCGGGCUCAACCUGGGAAUGGCAUCCGGAACUGUUUGGCUAGAGUGCAGAAGAGGAAGGUAGAAUUCCCGGUGUAGCGGUGAAAUGCGUAGAGAUCGGGAGGAAUACCAGUGGCGAAGGCGGCCUUCUGGACUGACACUGACACUGAGGUGCGAAAGCGUGGGUAGCAAACAGG